rnacentral:rRNA from 1 species
UAGGGAAUCUUCCACAAUGGGCGCAAGCCUGAUGGAGCAACACCGCGUGAGUGAAGAAGGGUUUCGGCUCGUAAAGCUCUGUUGUUAAAGAAGAACACGUAUGAGAGUAACUGCUCAUACGUUGACGGUAUUUAACCAGAAAGUCACGGCUAACUACGUGGCAG